rnacentral:rRNA from 1 species
GACGAACGCUGGCGGCGUGCUUAACACAUGCAAGUCGAGCGGUAAGGCCCUUUCGGGGGUACACGAGCGGCGAACGGGUGGGUAACGACGUGGGUGACCUGCCCUUAGCUCUGGGAUAAGCCUGGGAAACUGGGUCUAAUACCGGAUAUGACCUCAUGACGCAUGUUGUGGGGUGGAAAGCCUUGUGCGGCUAGGGAUGGGCCCGCGGCCUAUCAGCUUGUUGGUGGGGUGAUGGCCUACCAAGGCGACGACGGGUAGCCGGCCUGAGAGGGCGACCGGCCACACUGGGACUGAGACACGGCCCAGACUCCUACGGGAGGCAGCAGUGGGAAUCUUGCGCAAUGGGCGAAAGCCUGACGCAGCGACGCCGCGUGAGGGAUGACGGCCU